UCGAAACGGGUUGAUAGAAAAUAGUAGAAUGGAUGUGUAAAAAACCAAGUUGUCUAACUUAGAAAAUGUUGUCAUUCUAAGUAUGGAAUUUUGAAAGAAUAAUGAACAUGAUGUAAAUACAUAAUUAUGCAUACUAGAAGCUCAUGUAUGACUUUUGUGAUGAUGGAAUGAUAAAUUGUUAGAUUGAUUAGCAUUGUAGUAUUAUGAUACAUGUUGAACUCGUUAAGCGAUUGACACGUGAAUAGAAGUGUGAUUAGUGAUGUGUAUUAUUAUGUAUACUAACUAUUGAAUGGAUGUAAUGGAAUGAGAUAAUAGGAACGUGUCAAGGAGAGCUCAAGCAUAGGAGGAUAACGGGUCAAAAUAAGGCAAGGUGACAAAUACACUUAUUGGAGUACUCAAGGUCGCACGGACUUGACAUCAUUAUGAAGUAAAUGAGGAUUGAAGAUCGGGUCAAAGAGCGAGGAUUGUACGGGAAGGGUAGUCACAUAACUGGUGAUUU
rnacentral:lncRNA from 1 species